AGCAGUUUUUCUCUUCUCCUCGAACUGCAUCAAAUACGACUGUGUCUGAAACUUCUAUGGAGUUAUUGCGGUCUUCUGGCAGAAAAGCCAACACAUCUGCAGCCCCCCAACUCUCUUCCCAUUUUGCAUCUCUCGCAUAGACUCUCUCCUUUUCCCUCAUCAGCAUUAGGAGCAAUGGGAAAAGUUACUGGCUGGUACCCAGGCUGGCAGAUGGCUCUGCUAGCCGCCUGGACAUGGCUUUUGAUCCUUACUUUUGGCUUUGCCGGAGCAGAAAUCACUUGCAGAUCGUGCCAUUGGCAGGUGCAGUUACACGAGCAGCAGCGGCAGCAACCUCAGCAAGGAUUAUUAAUACAUUUGAGGACAAGACGAGAAGGCGAGGAGGCAUGGAGGUUAUCUGUGGAGAAAAGAGGUGAGAGGCAGCCUGGUCAUGGGCAGGAGGUGGCAGAUGCUGGGGAUCGAACCUUAUUCGCUUCUGCGACCGCUGGGGAGAAAUAUGCCAGCCUGGAGCCACGGAGACCGAUGGGAUCGAGGAAACUGUCCGGCGAGCCCUCCGAGGCGCCGAUCAGCUUCCGACUGUCGCGCUCGGAUGUUGAUAAGCCCACCCGCUCCAAGUUCCGUUCUGAUUCUCCGCGGUCCCCCGGGGAUAAAGAGCGGCGCUCCUCUGAGGCCACCCGUGCUGCCCGGUCGGCGCCCCUCGGCUGGCUAAGAAAAAGCAGGGCAGGUUGGACGAGGCAGCAGAGCCGGAAGCCUAGAGGAGCUCCUGCUGAAAGAGACCCGCAGCUGGAGAGCCGGGCACCGGCGGAGCAGCUGCAGGGGAAAGCCACGCGCUUUCGGCUGGAGGAGCUGAAAUUGACUAGCACGACCUUUGCCCUCACAGGGGAUUCGGCGCAUAACCAAGCUAUGGUGCACUGGUCGGGUCACAACAGCAGCGUGAUUUUAAUUCUGACAAAGCUGUAUGACUACAACCUUGGGAGUAUCACGGAGAGCUCACUGUGGAGGUCAACAGAUUAUGGAACAACGUAUGAAAAGCUAAAUGACAAAGUGGGCCUGAAGACUAUUCUGAGUUACCUUUAUGUUUGUCCAACUAAUAAGCGCAAGAUUAUGUUGCUUACUGACCCUGAGAUUGAGAGCAGUCUGCUGAUCAGUUCUGAUGAAGGAGCCACUUACCAAAAAUAUCGGCUAAACUUCUAUAUCCACAGUAUGCUCUUCCACCCCAAGCAGGAGGACUGGAUUCUGGCCUAUAGUCAAGAUCAAAAGCUGUAUAGUUCAGUUGAAUUUGGAAGAAGAUGGCUACUUCUCCAGGAAAAUGUAACACCGAACAGAUUCUAUUGGUCUAAGAUGGGAACCAGUAAAGAGCCAGACAUUGUGCACUUGGAAGCAAAAGCAGUGGAUGGUCAUGCUCAAUACAUCACUUGCAGGAUGCAGAACUGCUCUGAAGCAAUAAGAAGUAAACCGUUUCCAGGAUACAUUGACUUUGACUCCCUCAUUGUCCAGGAUGAUUAUGUGUUUGUUCAGCUGACAUCAGGAGGUCGGCCUCAUUACUACGUGUCCUAUCGGAGAAGUGCGUUUGCGCAGAUGAAGCUACCUAAGUAUGCAUUGCCAAAGGACAUGCAUGUUAUCAGCACGGAUGAGAAUCAGGUCUUUGCUGCAGUUCAGGAGUGGAACCAGAAUGAUACAUACAAUCUUUACAUCUCUGAUACCCGAGGGGUCUACUUCACCCUGGCUUUGGAGAAUGUCAAGAGCAGCCAAGACCUGGAGGGCAAUGUGAUGAUAGACCUCUAUGAGGUAGCAGGGAUAAAGGGAAUGUUCUUGGCUAACAAGAAGAUUGACAACCAAGUAAAAACUUUCAUCACGUACAAUAAAGGACGAGACUGGCACUUGCUGCAGGCCCCAGACACAGAUCUGAGAGGAAACCCAGUUCACUGCCUCCUUCCAUAUUGCUCCCUACAUCUUCACCUGAAGGUUUCAGAAAAUCCAUACACUUCUGGAAAUAUUGCUAGUCGGGAUACUGCCCCGGGCAUCAUUGUGGCUUCUGGUAACAUUGGAACUGAGUUAUCAGACAGUGAUAUAAGCAUGUUUGUUUCAUCAGAUGCUGGCAACACUUGGAGACAAAUCUUUGAAGAGGAACACAGUGUUCUUUAUCUGGAUCAAGGUGGGGUUUUGGUUGCCAUGAAACAUACAUCUUUGCCUAUCAGACAUCUCUGGUUAAGUUUUGAUGAAGGAAGAUCCUGGAGCAAGUACAGUUUCACUUCCAUCCCUCUUUUUGUUGAUGGGGUGUUGGGAGAACCUGGAGAGGAAACACUAAUAAUGACAGUUUUUGGACACUUCAGCCAUCGUUCCGAGUGGCAACUGGUGAAAGUAGAUUACAAGUCCAUUUUUGACAGACGGUGUGCUGAAGAGGAUUACCGACCCUGGCAGCUUCAUAGCCAGGGAGAAGCAUGUAUAAUGGGCGCAAAAAGGAUCUACAAGAAGCGUAAGUCGGAGAAGAAAUGCAUGCAGGGAAAAUAUGCUGGAGCUAUGACAUCUGAACCAUGUGUUUGCACAGAGGCAGACUUUGAUUGUGACUAUGGAUUUGAGCGUCACAGCAAUGGCCAGUGUUUGCCAGCAUUUUGGUACAAUCCAUCUUCCUUGUCCAAAGACUGCAGUUUUGGUCAGAGCUAUCUCAACAGUACUGGGUAUAGGAAGGUUGUAUCUAAUAACUGCACAGAUGGUGUGCGUGAACAGUACACAGCCAAGCCUCAGCAGUGCCCUGGCAAGGCUCCCCGUGGGCUUCGAAUAGUCACUUCAGAUGACACACUGACAUCUGAACAAGGACACAAUGUUACCUUCAUGGUCCAGCUAGAAGAGGGUGAUAUCCAAAGGUCAAUAAUCCGUGUGGACUUUGGAGAUGGCAGUGCCGUGUCAUAUGCCAAUAUCAGCUCUACAGAAGAUGGGAUCAAGCAUGUCUACCAGAAUGUGGGGAUUUUCCGAGUGACAGCGCAGGUGGAAAACAGCCUGGGGGCAGACAGUGCUGUCCUGUACUUGCAUGUAAAUUGCCCUUUGGAACAUGUCCAUUUAUCACUGCCCUUUGUAACAACAAAGAACAAAGAAGUUAAUGCCACAGCAGUGCUAUGGCCCAGUCAAGUUGGAACAUUAACUUACAUCUGGUGGUUUGGAAACAACACUGAGCCACUAAUCACCUUGGAAGGGAGCAUCACAUUUACAUUCUCUACAGAAGGGAUGACCACUAUCACAGUGCAGGUUUCUGCAGGGAAUGCCAUUCUUCAGGACACCAAGACAAUUGCAGUAUAUGAACAAUUUCAGUCUUUACGACUAGCCUUCUCUCCAAAUCUUGAUGAAUACAACCCUGACAUUCCUGAAUGGAGACGGGACAUCAGUCGAGUUAUAAAAAGAGCACUUGUUGAAGCAACAGCUAUUUCGAGCAAACAAAUUUUGGUGGCAGUCCUGCCUGGUUUACCCACAUCUGCUGAACUCUUUAUUUUACCCUAUGAGGACCCCACAGGAGAAGACAGACAGACAGUGGAAGAUCUGCAAGAGAUUUCAGAAAUAUUAGUCCAGAAACUGAACCAAAACUCCAUCCAGUUUGACUUAAAACCUGGGGUUAGAAUCCUUGUUCAUGCUGCUCAUUUAACGGCAGCCCCUCUCAUAGAUGUCACACCUAGCCACAGUGGUUCAGCCAUGUUGAUGCUGCUCUCCGUGGUGUUUGUGGGCUUGGCAGUCUUUGUAAUCUACAAAUUCAAAAGGAAGAUUCCGGGGAUUAAUGUUUAUGCACAGAUGCAGAAUGAGAAAGAUCAAGAGAUGGUCAGUCCAGGCAGUCAAAGUGAAAGCAUGCCUAAUGUCCCUCAGAGGGAGAUGACCCCAGAACAACUAGUAGAGGAGAAGGUGGAUUCCCAGCCCAUAGGGUUGCCAGAUUUCCAAAGACCAAUUCUUGUACACAAGAGGCUAUUGGGAGGAAAAUUUCCUGGACAUCCUGGACACCAACCAGCGAGCGUGACCAGACAGCCAAGGACUGCCCUGGGUCCAGAACCAGACAGUGCAUAGACUGUUGCCCUGCUGAUGAGCAUGCUGGCGGUCAGAUGUAUGAGGAGCGCUCGUCAGGCGCAGGAAGUAUUUCCACAGUUGCUGAGACUCAAAGCACAAAAGAGAUCCCUACUUGUAUAAAUGUUUGAAAUAAGGACACCGGUCUAUCUGUAUCCUCUUCACUCCAAGAUAUAUAUAUAUAUAUGUAUAUAUGUGUGUAUAAAAAAGAAACCAAUCACUGA